UACGGAGGGUGCAAGCGUUAUCCGGAUUCACUGGGUUUAAAGGGCGAGUAGGUGGCCAUCUAAGUCAGACGUGAAAUCCCCCGGCUUAACCGGGGAACUGCGUCUGAUACUGGAUGGCUAGAGAUUGGGAGAGGGAUGCGGAAUUCCAGGUGUAGCGGUGAAAUGCGUAGAUAUCUGGAGGAACACCGGUGGCGAAGGCGGCAUCCUGGACCAACACUGACGCUGAGGAGCGAAAGCCAGGGGAGCAAACGGG
rnacentral:rRNA from 1 species